GGGGGGGGGGGGGGGGGGGGGGGGGGGGGGAAGUCCUCUGCCCAGGUUUUCACUCUCACCUUCGGCUGCUGGCCGCCAAUCAGAGCCCCUCUCUCAUCCCCGCCAGGGGUAUCUUCGCCAAUCAGAGCGCGCUUUUCAUCGUGGCGCUCCGCCCCCGCACUGGGGGUGUGAGCGCCGCCAGCAGGGCCCCCUGCUGUGGGGUGGCGCGGGGGGCCGCGCGCCCCCUGGUGGCCGGAAGGGGCAGAGCGGCGACACCUCCGACGUCCCUCACGCCGAAUGUUCCCGGACAGGUCGGGCCGGGCCCAUUCCCCGCUCCCUUCUGGAUAAGGAGACAUCUUCUCUACCACAGCUGUGGGACUCAGCUUAUUUAGGUUGGAAUGCUUUGUUUGCCUGGACUCAUGAACAACUGACUCCCAUCUUCAGAGGUUAA
rnacentral:lncRNA from 1 species